UGGUGUGUCUCGCUUUCUCUGCUGCGCAGAAAGAGAUAGAAGCUGAGAGAGACAUUGUUUGCCUUGCAGAAAGAGAGGCGGAGGGGUGGAUUGAUAGAGAGCGAGAGACAUAGAGGUAGGAACGAGUGGCUCAGUGGUCAAUCCAAUCAGUGAGUGUGGUCCGUUAAUUGCUUAAGCUUCUUAAAGAUCUGAAAAGACCCUAGAUUUUAAAGUUGAGUAAGUGUGAAAAUGGUGUACAGGAAGGUCAAAGAUCAGGAUGAAGAUGGAAUUUCAGCAGCCGACGACAUCAAAAAUUUACGGGAAAGCCACUUUCUAUUGGUAACUUUGAUUUAUUGCUCUUGUAUCGUUACUUAGAAAUCUCAAUCUAAUGAGUUCAAUGUUGAUGAUUAAUUUUGGUGUUCAUCUGAAUAAUGUGGCGGCCAGUUUGGGAGGGAGACCAGUAGACAGAAAAAUGGAAGCGCAAGUAUGGAAAUUUAUACAACAUGCAUGAGAGCAUUCGGUUUAGAAAAUUCUUAAAGAGAUCAAACAAUUUGAAUAACACACGGGAAGAAGUUAUUGCUAAUAUGGCUAUACACGGUUGACCGAAUAGGCUUUAAUAGUCAAAUAAAUUCAUAUUCAUAAUAAACAAAUAUUAAAAAUUGAGUGUAAUUUUCUCCUGACCUUUUCAACUCGAAAAGUUUUAA